AUUAUCAUACAGAUGCAGCAAUUUUAUACAAAGAUAUUAUGACACCAUUAAAGCCAAUUGGUGUCGAUGUAGAAAUUAAAUCGGGUAUUGGUCCAGUGAUUCAUAAUCCUAUCAAAACAAUUCAAGAUGUUGAGAAACUUUCUCAAAUAGACCCCGAACGAGAUGUACCAUAUGUAUUAGAUACAAUUAAACUUUUAACAGAAGAAAAGUUAAAUGUGCCGCUAAUAGGAUUUACUGGGGCACCAUUUACAUUAGCGUCAUAUAUGAUUGAAGGCGGACCAUCGAAAAAUUACAAUUUUACAAAAGCGAUGAUGUAUAGAGAUGAAGCAACAUGGUUUGCUUUAAUGAAUCAUUUAGUUGAUGUAUCUGUUAAAUAUGUAACAGCUCAAGUCGAAGCAGGUGCCGAAUUGAUUCAAAUUUUCGAUUCAUGGGUAGGUGCAUUAAAUGUCGAGGAUUACAGACGUUACAUUAAACCACAUAUGAUUCGAUUAAUCAGUGAGGUUAAAGAAAAACAUGAUGUGCCGGUAAUUUUAUUCGGUGUAGGUGCCAGUCAUUUAAUCAAUGAAUGGAAUGAUUUACCGAUUGAUGUAUUAGGCCUAGAUUGGAGAACGUCUAUUAAUCAGGCUCAACAAUUAGGCGUUACUAAAACAUUACAAGGGAAUUUAGAUCCAUCAAUUUUAUUAGCACCAUGGAAUGUCAUUGAAGAGAGAUUGAAACCAAUAUUAGAUCAAGGUAUGGAGAACGGUAAACACAUCUUUAAUUUAGGACACGGUGUUUUCCCAGAAGUGCAACCAGAGACGUUACGUAAAGUAAGCGAAUUCGUACACACAUAUACACAAAGAUAAUCAUAGUAUUACAUUGAAGCACAUGAAAGAUAAUUCAUUUAAAGGAAGGUAUUAUCAAUGACUAAAAAAAUGGGGUUAUUAGUUAUGGCUUAUGGCACACCUUAUAAAGAAAGUGACAUAGAGCCAUAUUAUACAGAUAUUAGACAUGGUAAACGUCCAUCUGAAGAAGAACUUCAAGAUUUGAAAGAUAGAUAUGAAUUUAUAGGUGGUUUAUCACCAUUAGCAGGUACAACAGAUGACCAAGCUGAUGCACUAGUUUCAGCAUUAAAUAAAGCAUAUGCAGAUGUUGAAUUUAAACUAUACUUAGGAUUAAAACACAUUUCACCAUUUAUCGAAGAUGCGGUUGAACAAAUGCACAAUGAUGGUAUUACUGAAGCAAUCACGGUAGUACUAGCACCACAUUAUUCUUCAUUUUCAGUAGGAUCAUAUGACAAACGUGCUGAUGAAGAAGCUGCAAAAUAUGGUAUUCAACUUACACAUGUGAAACAUUAUUAUGAACAACCUAAAUUUAUUGAAUAUUGGACGAAUAAAGUCAACGAAACAUUAGCUCAAAUACCGGAAGAGGAACAUAAAGACACGGUAUUAGUUGUUUCGGCACAUAGUUUGCCAAAAGGUUUAAUCGAAAAGAAUAAUGAUCCAUAUCCACAAGAACUAGAACAUACUGCGCUUUUAAUUAAAGAACAAUCUAAUAUUGAACAUAUCGCGAUUGGUUGGCAAUCUGAAGGUAAUACAGGUACACCUUGGUUAGGGCCAGAUGUACAAGAUUUAACACGUGAUUUAUAUGAAAAACAUCAGUAUAAAAACUUUAUAUAUACGCCAGUAGGUUUUGUAUGUGAGCAUUUAGAGGUGCUUUAUGACAAUGAUUAUGAAUGUAAAGUUGUUUGCGAUGAUAUUGGUGCGAAUUAUUAUCGUCCAAAAAUGCCGAAUACACAUCCAUUAUUUAUCGGUGCAAUUGUUGAUGAAAUCAAGUCUAUAUUUUAAUGACGAAAGAAGCGUGAAACGUUGUGACUAAAUCAGUGGCUAUUAUAGGAGCGGGGAUAACAGGUUUAUCAAGUGCAUAUUUUUUAAAACAGCAAGAUCCUAAUAUUGAUGUAACCAUCUUUGAAGCAUCGAAUCGUCCGGGGGGAAAGAUUCAAUCGUAUCGUAAAGAUGGUUAUAUGAUUGAACUAGGGCCUGAAUCUUAUUUAGGUAGAAAAACGAUUAUGACAGAAUUAGCGAAAGAUAUUGGAUUAGAACAAGAUAUUGUUACAAAUACGACUGGACAAUCAUAUAUUUUUGCGAAAAAUAAAUUAUAUCCGAUUCCAGGUGGUUCAAUUAUGGGUAUUCCAACAGAUAUUAAACCAUUUGUUACUACAAAAUUAAUAUCGCCACUUGGUAAAUUAAGAGCAGGAUUAGAUUUAAUCAAAAAGCCUAUACAAAUGCAAGAUGGUGACAUUUCUGUUGGUGCAUUUUUCAGAGCAAGAUUAGGUAAUGAGGUACUUGAGAACUUAAUUGAGCCUUUAAUGGGUGGUAUUUAUGGUACCGAUAUUGAUAAAUUAAGUUUGAUGAGUACGUUUCCUAAUUUUAAAGAAAAAGAAGAGGCAUUCGGAAGUCUGAUAAAAGGUAUGAAGGAUGAGAAAAAUAAGCGUCUGAAACAAAGACAAUUAUAUCCUGGCGCACCAAAAGGACAAUUCAAACAAUUUAAGCAUGGUUUAAGCUCAUUUAUUGAAGCAUUAGAACAAGAUGUGAAAAAUAAAGGUGUGACAAUACGCUACAAUACGUCAGUGGAUGAUAUUAUUACAUCUCAAAAGCAAUAUAAAAUUGUUUACAGUAAUCAACAAGAAGAUGUAUUCGAUGGGGUAUUAGUGACAACACCGCAUCAAGUCUUUUUGAAUUGGUUCGGACAAGAUCCAGCAUUUGAUUACUUUAAAACGAUGGAUAGUACGACUGUUGCAACUGUUGUAUUGGCAUUUGAUGAAAAAGACAUUGAAAAUACUUAUGAUGGUACUGGCUUCGUGAUUGCGAGAACGAGUGAUACAGACAUUACCGCAUGUACUUGGACAUCGAAAAAAUGGCCAUUUACUACACCAGAAGGUAAGGUUUUGAUUCGUGCGUAUGUAGGUAAACCAGGUGAUACUGUGGUUGAUGAUCAUACAGAUAAUGAAUUAGUAUCGAUUGUACGUAGAGAUUUAAGUCAAAUGAUGACAUUUAAAGGUGAUCCUGAAUUUACAAUUGUCAAUCGUUUGCCGAAAAGUAUGCCACAGUACCAUGUCGGUCAUAUUCAACAAAUUAGACAGAUUCAAGCACAUAUUAAACAAACAUAUCCACGACUUAGAGUAACUGGUGCAUCUUUUGAAGCGGUUGGACUACCUGAUUGUAUUACACAAGGUAAAGUUGCUGCUGAAGAAGUAAUCGCAGAGUUGUAAGUUAAUUGUUGGAUGGUGUUGGUGUAGGUGCGACGCCUUUAGAUAAUGUUUGAUGAAAUAUAGUCAUUUUUAAGUUAUAUAAUGGUGGAAGUAAUGUGUAAAUAUAGAUACUUUCAGCGGGAAUUAUUUUUGUGAAAUUGAAGCAGAGACAAAGGUUUAGCUGUUUUUGAAUGAUAUUGAAAUGAUGACAAUACACUUUAAUUAGAAAUGUCACUUUGCGAUAUAACAUUUCUAAUUAAGGUGUUUUUAUUUUACAAUUAUAGGUAAUCAGUCAUUUUUUUAAAAAUAGAAAAGAAGUAGUAAGUUGAAAGGAGAGAAUGAGAUGACAGAUGUAAUUAUUGUACAUUCUAUGCAUGGAAAUAGUAGAAAUCAUUGGUAUCAGUGGUUGGAGCAUAACUUAACUUUAGAAGGAUAUGACGUAACAUUAUUUAAUUUUGAAUCCCCUGAAGCGAAGACAGUGGAUCAGUGGAUUGAAGCUAUGACGAAACAAAUUAAUGUACGCAAAAAGGAUACAUAUUUUGUAACACAUGGUUUAGGUUCAAUCACAGCUUUAAAAUAUAUUGAAAUGAUUGAUCAGCCGAUUGAAGGCUUUUUUAGUAUAGCGGGCUUUAAAGAAGAUGCAGAAAAUAUAGAUUUAGAUAUUGAUUUAAGUAAUGUAACCAUUGAUUACGAUAAUAUUAAAAAGAAAGUUGACAAUUUUUACGGAUUGAGUUCUAAAAAUGACAAAUACGUUUCAUAUAAAGAAACCCAGCGUUUAAUGAAUGCAUUAGAGGGGAACUUGCGAAUCGUGGAAGAUGGAGGGCACUUCUUAGAAGAGGAUGGCUUCGAAACAUUUACAGCGUUGCAAGAUCGGAUGCAAGAUUACAUGACACGAUAGGUAAUGUUUGGUUGCUAUGUAUUGUGUUAUGUGUGUCAGUACGAAGCAUAGCACUUUAGUGAAAAAGAUUAUAAUUAUAUUUUAAUAGUUUAGAGGUGUAGGCAUUAUAAAAUUUAUGAUUCCUACAUCUUUUUCAAUAGUUCAUGAGUAAUUAUGACAACUAUUAGACACUUAUAUUAUAAAAGGGAAGAAGAAGCGUUUUUUUACACAAAAAACUUUCAAAAUGUCGUUGACGUACACUACAAAAAUGAAUAUACUAAUAUUUGUGUUCAACAGAGAANUACGAAUCGAAGCCCCAGUAAACGGCGGCCGUAACUAUAACGGUCCUAAGGUAGCGAAAUUCCUUGUCGGGUAAGUUCCGACCCGCACGAAAGGCGUAACGAUUUGGGCACUGUCUCAACGAGAGACUCGGUGAAAUCAUAGUACCUGUGAAGAUGCAGGUUACCCGCGACAGGACGGAAAGACCCCGUGGAGCUUUACUGUAGCCUGAUAUUGAAAUUCGGCACAGCUUGUACAGGAUAGGUAGGAGCCUUUGAAACGUGAGCGCUAGCUUACGUGGAGGCGCUGGUGGGAUACUACCCUAGCUGUGUUGGCUUUCUAACCCGCACCACUUAUCGUGGUGGGAGACAGUGUCAGGCGGGCAGUUUGACUGGGGCGGUCGCCUCCUAAAAGGUAACGGAGGCGCUCAAAGGUUCCCUCAGAAUGGUUGGAAAUCAUUCAUAGAGUGUAAAGGCAUAAGGGAGCUUGACUGCGAGACCUACAAGUCGAGCAGGGUCGAAAGACGGACUUAGUGAUCCGGUGGUUCCGCAUGGAAGGGCCAUCGCUCAACGGAUAAAAGCUACCCCGGGGAUAACAGGCUUAUCUCCCCCAAGAGUUCACAUCGACGGGGAGGUUUGGCACCUCGAUGUCGGCUCAUCGCAUCCUGGGGCUGUAGUCGGUCCCAAGGGUUGGGCUGUUCGCCCAUUAAAGCGGUACGCGAGCUGGGUUCAGAACGUCGUGAGACAGUUCGGUCCCUAUCCGUCGUGGGCGUAGGAAAUUUGAGAGGAGCUGUCCUUAGUACGAGAGGACCGGGAUGGACAUACCUCUGGUGUACCAGUUGUCGUGCCAACGGCAUAGCUGGGUAGCUAUGUGUGGACGGGAUAAGUGCUGAAAGCAUCUAAGCAUGAAGCCCCCCUCAAGAUGAGAUUUCCCAACUUCGGUUAUAAGAUCCCUCAAAGAUGAUGAGGUUAAUAGGUUCGAGGUGGAAGCAUGGUGACAUGUGGAGCUGACGAAUACUAAUCGAUCGAAGACUUAAUCAA
rnacentral:rRNA from 1 species